UGAUGGGCCUGACCCAUGAGAAAGCAGGGGUAUGAGCCCCAGGACACAGUGGGAGGUGAGGCUGGAGAUGUACAGAGAGGGUUCUGUACGGCCUUUGGGGAGCACUUCGCUGCAUAGCCUGCUUUAUGUGACCCAGAGAAUCUAACUGGGAUACUCAGGGAACUAACUCCCUUCCUUUGCAGACCAGGAGCUGAGGAGGGGGUCAUGUGGAAAACAGGCUUCCUCUUGAAGAAACAGCUCCUCAACCAAGGAAGAAAUGUUAGGGUGUUAUCAGACACUACAGGGCUGCUUUUGAGGACAAGGGUGCGCUUGGAGUACAUGUGAGCCCCAAAUUUCCCCAAAGUCUUCCUUCUAGUAUUGGGGCCUCAUCCUUAAUCCUGUGAAUGUUCAACCCUUCAGCUAGGAAGCCUGGUGGGACUGCAAACUGAGCAGAUCAGAAGCUCCAGCUCUUGAGUUGUGUUUUCAGGUAUCUUGGCCAUGCAUCUCCAAGGGAUAAAAUUCAGCAGGGAAAUCUCUAGGUUUCAGCCUCUGGCUUGAAUUGGGACUUGAGAGGUUUACACUGUUAUUUUCUAAGUUUUUCAGUGCCAUUAAAAGUAGCCACCCAUCCUGGCCCUGGGUCUCCUACAGCCACACCACUUUAGGUCAGCAGCAAUGUAGUCUCUCAGAGGUAGGCCUUCAGUGGGCAUACCAUCCCAGGUAACUUCCGGUGAACUAAUUUUCCACGUGCCUGGGCUGCUCAAUUGUCACCUGAGAACACCAGUAGAACUUGCACUAUUCUCUCCCCUGCCCAAGGCAGAUAACCAAUCACAGAUCUUUAUUUCCCUACUUCUCUGUAAUUUGCAAUAAUCACGCCUGGCACUGAAUUCUACAUCGGUUAGGAACUUUUCACUGAUAUGUAUUGGAAAUGCAGUCUGUUGUAAGCGAAGAAAGUAUAUUAGAAGAAUAUCAUGGGAUCAUUGAUUCACAGAAAGGUGGAGGAUUAGUUUUGGAAAAAGGAUUACAGUUAAAGCAAUCUGGAAAGCCAAGAGUAGGAAGAGAGCAACCACUCUGAUGUUUCUGGGCCAUUGCUGGGAACUGCUCUGUACAUUCAUUCAACAGCCCUGGGUACUUGGCAGGAGGCAACAAUGGACCCAAGUUCCACGCUCUGGUGGGAGCAGGGAGAGGGGACUUCAGGUCCUCUGCAUUCGUGGGCUACAAGGCACUCCAACACUGUGGGAGAUUCCCAAAUCUGAAGAGGAGAGGGUGGAUAGCUAAGAAUAGCAAAAAUAGAACAGGUAGAUUUAUAAUCAGGCACCGAGGGAAGGAAACAGGAAAGUGUAUUUUCCCAUAAAUAAAGUGCCUCAUGUGUGUAUAAAUUCUUUUUUUUUUUUUAAUAUCAGGGAUUGAAUUCAGGGGUACCUGGCCACUGAGCCACAUCCCCAGCCCUAUUCUGAAUUUUAUUUUAAGAUAGGGUCUCACUGAAUUGCUUAGCGCCUUGCAGUUGCAAUUCUCCUGUCUCAGCCUCCCAAGCCGCUGGGAUUACAGGCGUGUGCCACCGUGCCUGGCUGUAUGUAUAAAUUCUGGAAUAAUAUUCACACAUUGGAUUCUGAGAUGCGCCAGGCAGUGGAAGUGUUGGGGAUGGUAUGGUCUGAAAUGG
rnacentral:lncRNA from 1 species